UACUGCCAUAAAAUAAUUUCCCAAAUUUCUCCGCCAAAAUAUUUCUACACUUUCCUUUUAACUCUUCUUAUCCGUGGAAACAAACACUCUCAUCGCCGACAAAGACCAACCCUAUCCCACUUCUCAUUCACGACAAAUUACCAGAGCUUCUCUUAAUGGGCUCUAGUAUGCAUCCACCAAGAAAAGGCAAUUUCCCUACAAAAGCUACUAUUGGACAAGGCGCAACAACUUUCGGGAAGAACACAUCUCAGGCAGAUCAUGUAGAUGGGUGAGGAGCCAGCAAUACUGACUUAGAGGGGAAGAUCCACAUGAAUACUGUUGAAUAAAGUUGAGUCUAUUGUUAUUGUUAAGAUUCUGUAUUUCCCUUGUGACUCUUUUUGUGUUAUUGCUUAUUGGUAAAUGUUUGAUUACCUCUUUCUUUUGUUAUGGCUAUGUGGCAGUGUUAUGCUUUAUUGUAAGUUUAGUAAUUGUGUUUCUUGUUUUCUGGUUUCUUAGGCAGUCAAGCCACACAAAAGAUAUUUGUUUGGACGUGGAACAACACAAAUGGAGAACAAUUAUCACAUUGAUCCACCAGGCCGUCGUUCUUACUCGUCAAUCUCGUUUAGAGAAGGAGUUGAUUAGUUUGACUGAAACUGUCUACUUGAUGAGCUAGCAGCUCACUGCUUUGUGUGAAGCUAGAGGAGUGGCAAGCACUGAUGCAACUACCAAUCCUUCUCCAUCCUCACCUCCUAGCACCAAUGAGCAGAGAAUCUAGAUGAUGUUGAUGGCUUUCUACAAUCAACUGAAGACAUAACAACUGGAAUCUUUUGUGUUUAGUUUGAACUUUUAUUAUGUCAUUAGUUUCCACCUAUUGGGUUUAAUAUUUUGUUUUCUACUAGUAACGAAUGCAAU